AUGCUAAAGAUACGUCAGGGUUCAAAACAAACUCCUCCUCCCUCACGUGUGCACCGGUAACAAUGACUCAUCAGUUAGCAUGAUGUGCGGGUGCAGAGGAGAGGACUCGAAUCGGAGUCACAGGGUGGGACCCCGGGGGAGCAGCUGAGCUGGUCACCCGGACGGAGCUCAGGAAGGGCCUGGGAGGGAAAGAAGAGGUGACUAUUCUAUUUUAAGUUUUGUUCCUGGAGCCCAACAUCAAGCAGGAGAAAGAUUGGACAAUGAAAAUUAUUUCAUACAAAAGAUGCACUUAAUUGAGUUAAAAAUGUGGAGUCAGUACAAACUCACUUCCACCUCUGCAGAGACCUCACGAGUACUCCACGGAAAAGAUCAGACCUCUACUCUUGCCUGAUGCACCUAAAACAAAAAGGGGGAACUGUAGAGAGCUGCGUAAUGCCGCGCCUUAAAGAUGGAGCUGGUUUCUGCCUUCCACCUUCCCGAUGUGUUUGCUGAUGAACAAAAGUUCUCUUUCAACAGAACAACAAUAUAGCUAAGGAGUCAUCAAAUAAAAGCAAGUAUGUGUGCUGGCCAAAGUACUGUGGUUAGAGGCUCAUGGGAACCUAAGCCUACAUUUCCUGUAGGAACAAUGGUUUCCCAAGAGCUAAUCUGAGAGAUGUAAUAAUUUGAGCAAGAAGAAAAGAGUCAUAAGAAUCAGCUACCCUGCUGGCAAUCCCAGCACUCAGGAAACUGAGGCUGCAAGAUUAGGACUGAAAAAAGAAAGAAAUUCAACUACGACAGAAUGUUGGCUUUCUCCAUUACAAAGAUCCUUCCCUUAAACACCAUGGCCUCAUCUCCAGACACAGCACCCACCACAGCUGCUGUUCGCUCCCAACGCCCCUCAGUGACACUGGGCACACAGUGUGCUCCAGGAAACUGCAGUUUCUGUCCUCUCCUGUGACCAACACACAGUCAUUGCAUUCGCUGUGUUCUGCAGGAGCCAAGCUUCAUACAAGGCAGUCCUGGAAGUAACUACAAUAACGGAAACUGCUUUACUCCUUUGGGGCAGAAGGUUUUAAAAGAUCCAUAACCCUCGCUCAAAGGAAGGAUGGAGGAAGGAGGGCUACCACACGAGGAAAAGACAUUUUAGAAACAAGAACUGGGAAGUGAACUGUGGUAUAAAUAACCAAUCGAUGAGGCAGAAGAGAGUAGAAGAACUUGAAAUACAUGAAAAGUGCAGAGAAGCUACCAGAAGAAAAAAAUCUUACAAAAACAGUGCAUUUGAACAUAGUUUGUUUCUAGGGCACCUAGAAGUUGAAGACUGAACAGGCUGGUGCACUGGACGCUUAGCGAAUGUCUGCUAGUCUUGGAAACGACAAAGAAAAUCGAUGUGGCAAAAGUCAUGUUCACCAAGUACAGAAAAAUGUGUAUGUGAUAAAAAUCAGAAGGCUUUGAAUUAAACGUGAGCAAGCACUGGAACAAGGAAAGGGAUGCAACAGGCUGACCAGCAGCAGCACUGGAAGCAUUUGUGAGUCCACUGGGAUGUGCAAAGCACUUUGGGAGUUCACAAGGGAAAGAAAUCUGAACAUUUAAGGGGAAAAAAAAUGAAUGAAGAAGCAAGGUCUACAAGAGCCAGGGAUUUGGAAUCUUAUCCUGCGCAAGUAUUAGGAGGAAAGGAGAGCAAGGCUGAGGAAAGAGGACGUUUCAUGCAGAGUUACUAAUGGAUUUAAUUAACUUUCCUUCAUUACACAAACAAACAAACAAAUCAUCUUGAAGGACAUGGGGGUUCUGCUGUGAGCUAGAGACAGCUGGAAAUACUUCCAACCCCUUCUGGAAGAUUAAUGGAAGAACCAACAAGGAGUACCUGCAAGCACAGAGAAGGGAUGCCUGGGCCACUGGGUUCACAGCACUGACAGGGAGGAGUGUAACUGUUCAGCUUGGUCCCUGGGCAGUACAGAUCUCAUAAAAGGCCUGGCAGGGCAGAUGCCUUGGGCUAUGUGGGUUAAAGCUAAGAGGAGCUUAUGUAGAACGCCCAAGGUCUAACCCAACCCCAAAAGGAGAAAAUUUUAUCCAAGCAAACAGCAAGGAGGAAGCCCUGAGGACUUCGUUACCCAAAAGAAUAAGAUGUGGCUUCAAGGAGGGGGGGCAAAAGGGGACCACAUGGGCAGGUUGUGCUUUGAGAGAACAUGAUAAAGCCUCUAACAUCUUGGAAAAUGAGCAAGUUCAGAGGAUUUGGCAGAGGGGUAGAAGCAGGAACUACCAUCUUGAUGGACAGACCAGUACAUAAAAGAAGGUAUUCCAUACGUAUGUGGUAACAACUUAAAAAUUAGCUAACUUUCCUUUCUAAACUGUUUCCCCAAGCCUUCAUUUUUAUGGAGAAAACCACUUCAAAGAGAAACUCAAAGGAAUAUUCAGUGAUAAUAUGGAGAAAAACAAUAAAGAAACUGCUCCAAGGAAGUAUUUUCAGCGCCACCGAGUUAGCACAACUUUUACAUUGUCAUCAGCUCACCCUGC